rnacentral:rRNA from 1 species
GGGGAUAAGGCCUCGUUGUAACCUCUUUUACCACCAACCCGGGUUCGGUUCUUUUGGGUGACGGUAGGGGGGAAUAGGACAGCUAACUACGUCCCAGCAGCCGCGUAAUACGUAGGGUCCGAGCGUGUCCGGAAUUAUUGGGCGUAAAGAGCUAGUAGGCGGCGUGUCGCGUUUGCUGUGAAAGACCGGGGCUUAACUCCGGUACUGCAGUGGAUACGGGCAUGCUAGAGGUAGGUAGGGGAGACUGGAAUUCCUGGUGUAGCGGUGAAAUGCGCAGAUAUCAGGAGGAACACCGGUGGCGAAGGCGGGUCUCUGGGCCUUACCUGACGCUGAGGAGCGAAAGCAUGGGGAGCGAACAGGAUUAGAUACCCUGGUAGUCCAUGCCGUAAACGUUGGGCGCUAGGUGUGGGGACUUUCCACGGUUUCCGCGCCGUAGCUAACGCAUUAAGCGCCCCGCCUGGGGAGUACGGCCGCAAGGCUAAAACUCAAAGGAAUUGACGGGGGCCCGCACAAGCGGCGGAGCAUGUUGCUUAAUUUGACGCAACGCGAAGAACCUUACCAAGGUUUGACAUCACCCGUGGACCUGUAGAGAUACAGGGUCAUUUAGUUGGUGGGUGACAGGUGGUGCAUGGCUGUCGUCAGCUCGUGUCGUGAGAUGUUGGGUUAAGUCCCGCAACGAGCGCAACCCUUGUUCCAUGUUGCCAGCACGUAAUGGUGGGGACUCAUGGGAGACUGCCGGGGUCAACUCGGAGGAAGGUGGGGACGACGUCAAGUCAUCAUGCCCCUUAUGUCUUGGGCUGCAAACAUGCUACAAUGGCCGGUACAAUGGGCGUGCGAUACCGUAAGGUGGAGCGAAUCCCUUAAAGCCGGUCUCAGUUCGGAUUGGGGUCUGCAACUCGACCCCAUGAAGGUGGAGUCGCUAGUAAUCGCGGAUCAGCAACGCCGCGGUGAAUACGUUCCCGGGCCUUGUACACACCGCCCGUCACGUCAUGAAAGUCGGCAACACCCGAAACUUGCGGCCUAACCCUUCGGGGAGGGAGUGAGUGAAGGUGGGGCUGGCGAU